rnacentral:rRNA from 1 species
GACGAACGCUGGCGGCGUGCCUAAUACAUGCAAGUCGAACGAGUGGCGGACGGGUGAGUAACACGUGGGAAACUAACCAUAAGAGGGGGAUAACACUUGGAAACAGGCGCUAAUACCGCAUAAUGAUGGAUGGACCCGCGGUGAAUUAGCUAGUAGGUGGGGUAACGGCUCACCUAGGCGACGAUCUCUAGCUGGUCUGAGAGGAUGACCAGCCACACUGGAACUGAGACACGGCCCAGACUCCUACGGGAGGCAGCAGUGGGGAAUAUUGCACAAUGGGCGCAAGCCUGAUACAGCCAUGCCGCGUGUAUGAAGAAGGCCUUAGGGUUGUAAAGUACUUUCAGCGGGGAGGCGUUACCCGCAGAAGAAGCACCGGCUAACUCCGUGCCAGCAGCCGCGGUAAUAC